AGAGUUUGAUCAUGGCUCAGAUUGAACGCUGGCGGCAGGCCUAACACAUGCAAGUCGAGCGGUAGCACAGGAGAGCUUGCUCUCUGGGUGACGAGCGGCGGACGGGUGAGUAAUGUCUGGGAAACUGCCUGAUGGAGGGGGAUAACUACUGGAAACGGUAGCUAAUACCGCAUAACGUCUUCGGACCAAAGUGGGGGACCUUCGGGCCUCACGCCAUCAGAUGUGCCCAGAUGGGAUUAGCUAGUAGGUGGGGUAAUGGCUCACCUAGGCGACGAUCCCUAGCUGGUCUGAGAGGAUGACCAGCCACACUGGAACUGAGACACGGUCCAGACUCCUACGGGAGGCAGCAGUGGGGAAUAUUGCACAAUGGGCGCAAGCCUGAUGCAGCCAUGCCGCGUGUGUGAAGAAGGCCUUCGGGUUGUAAAGCACUUUCAGCGAGGAGGAAGGGCAGUGUGUUAAUAGCACAUUGCAUUGACGUUACUCGCAGAAGAAGCACCGGCUAACUCCGUGCCAGCAGCCGCGGUAAUACGGAGGGUGCAAGCGUUAAUCGGAAUUACUGGGCGUAAAGCGCACGCAGGCGGUUUGUUAAGUCAGAUGUGAAAUCCCCGCGCUUAACGUGGGAACUGCAUUUGAAACUGGCAAGCUAGAGUCUUGUAGAGGGGGGUAGAAUUCCAGGUGUAGCGGUGAAAUGCGUAGAGAUCUGGAGGAAUACCGGUGGCGAAGGCGGCCCCCUGGACAAAGACUGACGCUCAGGUGCGAAAGCGUGGGGAGCAAACAGGAUUAGAUACCCCGGUAGUCCAA
rnacentral:rRNA from 1 species